rnacentral:misc_RNA from 1 species
GAUGAAGAACGUAGCGAAAUGCGAUAAGUAAUGCGAAUUGCAGAAUUCCAGUGAGUCAUCGAAUCUUUGAACGCACAUUGCGCCCGCCAGUAUUCUGGCGGGCAUGCCUGUUCGAGCGUCAUUUCAACCAUCAAGCCCCAGGCUUGUGUUGGGGACCUGCGGCUGCCGCAGGCCCUGAAAACCAGUGGCGGGCUCGCUGUCACACCGGGCGUAGUAGAUUUUAUCUCGCUCUGGGCGUGCUGCGGGUUCCGGCCGUUAAAAAACCCUUUUAACCCAAGGUUGACCUCGGAUCAGGUAGGAAUACCCGCUGAACUUAAGCAUAUCAAUAAGCGGAGGA